rnacentral:rRNA from 1 species
GUAGUAACGGCGAGUGAACUGGGAAGAGUCCAGCGCUGAAUCGCGGCGCCUCUGGUGCCGCGAGGUGUAGCGUACAGACCGUGAGCAUGGGUUGGCCUGCCCGUUCAAGUUUCCCUUGACCGGGGCUCCAGAGAAGGUGCAAGACCUGUCCAACGGGCGGCAGCCAGUCCAUUUUCGCGUGUCUCGGAGUCGGGUUGUUUGGGAUCGCAGCCCAAAGCAGGUGGUAAACUUCAUCUAAGACUGAAUAUGACUACGAGUCCGAUAGCGAACAAGUACCGUGAGGGAAAGUUGCAAAGCACUUUGAAGAGAGAGUUAAAGAGGACGUGAAACCGAUGAGGUGGAAACGGACAGAGCUGGCGUAUCUGGCCUGUAUUCAGCCACGGGCCCGCCGGUGUCAGGGAUGCCGCUCUCCAGAUUGGGACGGUGGCCUGUCUGCUGGUGGGUUUGUGGUGCAUUUGCAGGUGGAGUGCGCCGAGGCGCUCGGGCACAGCGGCAUGAGCCCAGUUUUGAGGCCAGCCUCGCAAGAGGUCUGGUACCCGGACUGGGGGAGUGUUGUUUGGCCUGGGUGUACAAGUGGGGCAAUGGAAUCGGGCCCGGGUGGGUGCCGAGCUGGCAGUCGGCGUCGGUCGCAUGCGACACGUGCCAGCGGUCAGUUCGGUCCUGCUCGAGCUCACAUCUGCCCGUCCUCGGUGUAAAAGCCGGUCAUCUGUCCGACCCGUCUUGAAACACGGACCAAGGAGUUUAGCGUGUGCGCGAGUCAUUGGGCGUUAAAAACCCAAAGGCGCAAUGAAAGUGAAGGUCUCCCUUGCGGAGCUGAUGUGUGAUCCUGGUGCACUGCGGUGCCCGGGCGCAACAUAGUCCCGUCCCGACCGCAUGCGGUGGGGCGGAGACAGAGCGUACGCGCUGAGACCCGAAAGAUGGUGAACUAUUCCUGAGCAGGAUGAAGCCAGUGGAAACUCUGGUGGAAGUCCGAAGCGAUUCUGACGUGCAAAUCGAUCGUCUGACUUGGGUAUAGGGGCGAAAGACUAAUCGA